ACUACAAGAUCGCGCCACUCAUCCUGAUCCUACACUCAUUUCCAUUCGUACUUGGCUUAAAAUACCUACUUUGUAUGGUCGCCAAGUAAUAAGAAAGAAAGUAUUAAAGAAAUAUAUUCAUUGGAAUGAGUGUAGGACGUAAACUUAAGUGCUGUAAAAUAUUCUAGAGCUGUUUGUAUUUGGUGUAAGACUAGACUUGGAUUAUAUCAUUCAUUGCUGAUGACAUCAAUGUUAAUUUUAUAGAUGAUCCUGGAGCAAAGGCUGUAAUUUGACCUGAACCCAAAUUGGUCUCUAUUUUAAAUAUUGUCUUGAACCAAUAAGUUAAGAGGACUAACCUUUCUGGACGACAUUGCCAUCGACAUCACAGCAGAUGAGAGAGAAAGAGAGACCAGAGUUGUGGACACUGUAGGCAAUUACCAUACUGCCGUGAUAAUGUUCCUUGGUCUAACCAUAACUUAAGUGAGAACUGAAGCCUACCAGUAAAAUGGGGGCGUUGUAAUUAAUAUCCUCCGACAUUGGAGAAUACAGGGGAGAGGUGUCAGAGGAAGAGGAGAUGGAGGAUGGGGCGAAGUAAAGACUAAGAUUGAAGAGAACUAACUAAUGGCCUGAUGACAGGGUGGAUGGCGAUGGAGGCAUGGAGGUUGGGGAGAGGAGGCUGAAGAAGUGGAG